rnacentral:lncRNA from 1 species
AUGCUCAUGCCGCCAUCAUGUGGCUGGAGGAGGAACUGCUCCGUGAAUGGACUCGGCCACAUUCGAUGUGGACCCAUUUGUCGUUUCCUUCCUUCCUUCCUUUCCUCCUUUUCUUCUUCCCUCCUUCUUUCCUUUCUUCCUCCUUCCCUCCCUCCUCCUUUCUUCCUCCUCUCCCUUCUUCCUUUCUGUCCUUCCUCCUUCCUUCCACUGGGACAAACUCUGCGAUACAAACAUGCAUUUGAAACAGCUCCUGCUUUUAAGCACUGUGGCGAAAGAGACAAGAGCUUACAUUGUUUCUUUGGGCACCUGGCGGAAGAGAAACGCCUCCCAUUUGGUUCCUGUCAUGAGAAAGCGACAACACAGGCAAGCAUGUCAGAAAAGACAAAGUUCCCGCUGUCCCAGGAAAUGGGAGCGUAUACACUGAAUAAAGACUCUGCUUCAUCCUGUACCACCUUCCGCCGCCUCCCCGCUGACACACAAGUGCUGUUUGUUUGAAAGUUUAUCUCAACGGGAGAUUUUAAGGAAGGGCUGCUUGACAUCGCCGUAGAUCCUGUGUUCUGCUUCAGCUGUUUUUUGAUGUUUGUCCGUUCACACGGAUGAAGUCAUGAAGAUUACGAUCUAGGGCAAGAUGAUAUUUUCUGCGGCAAUUAUUGUUCUUGGAAAUAGGAGAGCAGAGUAUGAGAGAAUGCGAGGGAUGGAAGGGAUUAAGGCAGCCAACCAACACACCACUGGGUUAACCCCUGAGGGAAAAGAGACCCAGAGAGUGAUGUGACUUGGCCAAGCUCACACAGCUGGUUCGUUCUGCACAGAAUUAUCUAAAGAAAACUCUUCCCAAAAUGCUUCACCAUCACAUCGGUAUGCGAUUAAAUGGAGGCCUCUUUUGAUAGAGGCCAUCACUUCUUUUUUCCCAAAUAUCGAGGACAGGGUUAUUCACAAUUUUUUGUAUGUGAAAGUUUGCAAAUAUAAAAUUCUGUUCAGGAGUGUGGAAUGCUUCCAAAACCAUAAAAAAUAUAGACUCUUCUCCAAAGUAAAGGUUUCAACCAAGGAAAGGCUAAUCUGGUAGGAAAUACUUAUUCCCCACUUCACAGGUCUCCCUGAAGGAAACUUCCCCUUAAAUACUCCUGUCCGUCUGCCUAUUGUUCCCCAGAGAGAGCCCCCAAAGUCAUCUAACUGGAGAGUUUGGGACAUAGACCAUCCUUCUGUUCCCCUUUAACAUUCCAUAGCUGCUUGCAGAGGGCAGCUGUGUUCCUUGCCAUGUAGGAUAAGAUCUUGCCACAAAGAGAAAAAUGUCUUUUUUUCUAGCACUGUCAGUGGCCAGGUGGAAAAGUCAACCAAUUUUACCAAGCCCAUUAUUGCCUCAAUCUCCAGUAUUCUGUCAGUAUUAAAGCUGGCAUUUUGUUCUCCUUCUGUCAACCCUCUUGGGUCUCCUGUUGAUUUAGACUUCCGACAGGGAUAAAGGGCAUGCUGCAUUCACCCGAUCCAUCAGCGAAUGUCAACAUGCAUUAGCAGUAGCUAAUUUAAAGACUGCGUAGCAUCCUCAAGAUUUCUACAAGUGUCAAGUUGAUCCACAAUUCCAUGGGAAAUGUAAAUGCUUUACUUCAUCCCCGUUGAAAGAUGUCUCAAAACUCAACACCUUUUUUUUCUAUACUUUUUAGACAGUAGCACAGCAGAAUGUAUGACUGAUGAGAACUGAACUCAGCCUUCAAAACCAGUCACUCGAAAGAGAAGAGUCCAAGAGCCAAGCAAAACCUGGGAGCUUGAGGGAAUCUCAUGGGCUUCUUUCCCGGAUGCUUGGGUUAUUUCCUCUGCCUCCUCGAGUCUCACAGAAUCUCAGAGUUGGGAAGGUUCUCGAAAGUCAUCUAAUGCAAACCACCUUGAGGGAUUUGAAGUCCUGCUACAAUAACCCCUGUAAGCAUUUAUCCAGGCUCAGCUUCCCCACUGCCGGAGAACUGGAGUUUAACAAAACCAAAGGUAGCCCAUUCCAUCUUUGAACAAAUCUAUUUGUGAGGAAGUUUUGUUGCGGUCGAUGGUUGGUUUUUCAUAGCCUGCUGUAAGUGGCCCCCCUGAACCCCAACUAAAUUCUACUCUUUGUAGGACCAUCCUGCAAUUCAUCAGUUCAUAGAUACGUAUUUGUUUACAUUUUAUCUCUGAACUUGGAGUGCUUCUUAACAAUCGAAGGCAUCUUUGACUGUGCUUGGCUGGGCAGAGGAUGUGACAUAUAUGUUGUUUGUGCAUGUGUGAGCUUGGCUGUUCCUCGGAGUGUGGUGAAAACCACCGGCUCUCAACAUCUCAGUCAUCAAACCAUUGAAGUACUGUUAUAAUAAGGAACAGAAGUCUUUUUGGGGACCUAAAAAAACCUUAACAACUUAAACUUUCUGAAAAUCACAACAGCACCAGCAUCAAAACGUUCAGAAGGCAUCUUGAAAAAAAAAAUGGUGAAGACCAUAGUAGAGCAUUCUUCAACAAUGUGUAUUACAAUGUUCUUAUAAAGAGAAUAAAAUUAAUGGCAUCAUACA